AUUGAACGCUGGCGGCAGGCCUAACACAUGCAAGUCGAGCGAGCGGCGGACGGGUGAGUAAUGUAUGGGGACUGCCCGAUAGAGGGGGAUAACUACUGGAAACGGUAGCUAAUACUGCAUACUAUCGGAUAACCCAUAUGGGAUUAGCUAGUAGGUGAGGGAAUGGCUCACCUAGGCGACGAUCCCUAGCUGGUCUGAGAGGAUGAUAAGCCACACGGGGACUGAGACACGGCCCAGACUCCUACGGAGGCAGUAGUGGGGAAUAUUGCACAAUGGGCGAAAGCCUGAUCCAGCCAUGCCGCGUGUAUGAAGAAGGCCUUCGGGUGGUAAAGUACUUUCAGUCGGGAAGCGGUACCUACAGAAGAAGCACCGGCUAACUCCGUGCCAGCAGCCGCGGUAAUUC
rnacentral:rRNA from 1 species